rnacentral:rRNA from 1 species
UACGGAAGGCAGCAGUGGGGAAUAUUGCACAAUGGGCGCAAGCCUGAUGCAGCCAUGCCGCGUGUAUGAAGAAGGCCUUCGGGUUGUAAAGUACUUUCAGUCGUGAGGAAGGUGUUAAGGUUAAUAACCUUAGCAAUUGACGUUAGCGACAGAAGAAGCACCGGCUAACUCCGUGCCAGCAGCCGCGGUAAUACGGAGGGUGCGAGCGUUAAUCGGAAUUACUGGGCGUAAAGGGCACGCAGGCGGUUAAUUAAGUUGGAUGUGAAAUCCCCGGGCUUAACCUGGGAAUGGCAUUCAAGACUGGUUAGCUAGAGUCUUGUAGAGGGGGUAGAAUUCCAUGUGUAGCGGUGAAAUGCGUAGAGAUGUGGAGGAAUACCGGUGGCGAAAGGCGGCCCCCUGGGACAAAAGGACUGACGCUCAUGUGCGAAAAGCGUGGGGAGCAAAAC